GACGAACGCUGGCGGCGUGCUUAACACAUGCAAGUCGAACGGUGAAGCGCCUUCCUUUUUGGUGGGUGUGGAUGAGUGGCGAACGGGUGAGUAACACGUGAGUAACCUGCCCCCUUCUUCUGGAUAACCGCAUGAAAGUGUGGCUAAUACGGGAUAUUCUGGGUCUGUCGCAUGAUGGGUCUGGGAAAGAUAUUGUUUCGGUGGGGGAUGGGCUCGCGGCCUAUCAGCUUGUUGGUGGGGUGAUGGCCUACCAAGGCGGUGACGGGUAGCCGGCCUGAGAGGGUGGACGGUCACACUGGGACGGAGACACGGCCCAGACUCCUGCGGGAGGCAGCAGGGGGGAAUAUUGCACAAUGGGCGCAAGCCUGAUGCAGCGACGCCGCGGGAGGGAUGGAGGCCUUCGGGUUGUGAACCUCUUUCGCCAGUGAAGCAGGCCUGCCUCGUUUGUGGGUGGGUUGACGGUAGCUGGAUAAGAAGCGCCGGCUAACUACGUG
rnacentral:rRNA from 1 species